rnacentral:misc_RNA from 1 species
AAGACUAUAGACCUGCGGAGUACCUGCGGAAGGAUCAUUACCGAGUUAGGGUUCCUCUCACGGGCCCGACCUCCCAACCCUGUGUCUACCACACCUUGUCGUUGCUUCGGUGGACCGGUUCGGGGACUUUUGUUUCUGGCCGCCGGGGGUGUUUUUCACCCCGGGAGAGCGUCCGCCGAUGGCCCAACCACAACUUCUUUGUUCUAAACCUGUCGUCUAAAUCAAACUUGAUAAUAAUCA